rnacentral:SRP_RNA from 14 species
CGACAUGCUUCGGGUGCUCUUGUGAAGUGUGUGCGUGUGUGUUGUGGGAACCCUACUGGCCUGCAUGACUUGCGGGGCUUCGGGUUCACAGAGACAGCGAUCCCUUGCUGCAGAGUGCAGUGCAGAGACAGCUGGCCGACGUGGCAUGCAAC